AUUGAACGCUGGCGGCAUGCCUAACACAUGCAAGUCGAACGGGGCAGCAAUGCCUAGUGGCGGACGGGUGAGGAAUACGUAGGAAUCUGCCCUUAAGUGGGGGAUAACCAGGGGAAACCCUGACUAAUACCGCAUGAUCUCUUCGGAGCAAAGAGGGGGACCGCAAGGCCUCUCGCUUCUGGAUGAGCCUACGUCUGAUUAGCUAGUUGGUAGGGUAAAGGCCUACCAAGGCGACGAGCAGUAACUGGUCUGAGAGGAUGAUCAGUCACACCGGAACUGAGACACGGUCCGGACUCCUACGGGAGGCAGCAGUGGGGAAUAUUGGACAAUGGGCGCAAGCCUGAUCCAGCGAUGCCGCGUGUGUGAAGAAGGCCUUCGGGUUGUAAAGCACUUUAGUUGGGGAAGAAAAGUAAUAAGUAAAUAAUUUAUUGCUCUGACGGUACCCAAAGAAUAAGCACCGGCUAACUCUGUGCCAGCCGCCGCCGUAACAC
rnacentral:rRNA from 1 species